rnacentral:rRNA from 1 species
AGGACGAACGCUGGCGGCGUGCCUAAUACAUGCAAGUCGAACGAGAUCCAUCUGGUGGCAACACCAGAGAAGAUCGAGUGGCGAACGGGUGAGUACCACGUGAGCAACCUGUCCCGAAGACCGGGAUAACACCGGGAAACCGGUGCUAAUACCGGAUAUCCCCAUCAGGUCGCAUGGCCAGGUGAGGAAAUGGGUUUCCGCUUCGGGAGGGGCUCGCGGCCUAUCAGCUUGUUGGCAGGGUAAUGGCCUACCAAGGCAACGACGGGUAGCUGGUCUGAGAGGACGACCAGCCACACUGGGACUGAGACACGGCCCAGACUCCUACGGGAGGCAGC